AACAUGACUAACAAUAAUGUAAAACUGAAAUUUCACAAGGUUGUAAACUAUCAUAAUCUUAAUUUUAAAAAAACUCAAAAAAAAAAAAAGGUUGAUUGGACACUUACCACAUGACCCAGCAAUUCUACUAGUAGGUAACCUACCCGAGAGGAAUGAAAACAUAUGUCUGUGCAAAGACUUGUACAUAAAUAUUCACAGCAAGACUAUUAUAAGAGCCAAAAUGGGAAGCAAUUAAAUGUUCAUCAGUUGAUGAAUGGAUAAGCAGUUGUGGUCCAUCCAUGGACUACUUCUCAGCAAUACAGAAGAGCAAACUACUGACACACACAGUCACUUGGAUGAACCUCAAGAACACUAUAGUAAGUUAAAGAAGCCAGACACAAAAGAUUACAUACCAAAUGGUUCCAUUUAUAGGAAAUUUCUAGAAAAGGUCUUUUGCAGUGAGCAUAGCAUCAUAAUGAGAAAAAAAACCCAGUUAUCUCUCCCCAAAUGAUUGAGCACUUUGUAAGACCACAGUACUGCACUAAGUAAUGUGAGGAAUAAAAAGAACAGAAUUCCUUCUCUUUUGGAGCUUUCACUAAGACGCAAAUCAAUUGAUAUAUUAUGUGAUAAUUUUUUAUUGCCUGUUAUGUGUCAAAUACUUCAUUUCACUUCACAUACUCUAUCUCCUUUAAUCCAAACAUAAGGAAGAUGUAUAAGUUCACUUGAUGGUAUAUUAUUCAAUAAUUUUAAGUGUUGUUAAUGAUGAACACAGCGAUGCAUAUUUUAUAAUAGCAAGUUACAAAAAAGAUAAAAACAGGCAGACAAAAAUCUGUGCAUAAAGACUAAGUAGAAUGCAGUCUAGAUAGCAAUAAUUUUUUUGUACCUUUUAAAUUUACUGUUAUAAG
rnacentral:lncRNA from 1 species